CCCCUAGAUGUUCUGGGCCGCACGCGCGCUACACUGAACAGUUCAACAAGUCUUAACCUUGGCCGAUAGGUCUGGGCAAUCUUUGAACAUCGAUCGUGAUCGGGAUAGAUUCUUGUAAUUUUUGAUCUUAAACGAGGAAUUCCUAGUAAACGCAAGUCAUCAGCUUGCAUUGAUUACGUCCCUGCCCUUUGUACACACCGCCCGUCGCACCUACCGAUUGAAUGGUCCGGUGAAAUCUCCGGACUGGCGUGAGUCGGAGCAAUCUGACAAACACCGGAAAGUUGAUUAAACCUUACCAUUUAGAGGAAGGUGAAGUCGUAACA
rnacentral:rRNA from 1 species